UUAAUUCGAGGCUUCUCUUGCCUCUUUGUUCGGAAGCUCUUCCCUAGCCAGUCCUGUGGGUUUCACCCCCUCUCACUAGGCUGGGUUUGUAAAUAGCUUUUGUUGAUUUUGUUUUUCUAUGUUUUGGUCUUGGUCAUAUGUUAUGCUUUAACAGUGGAGAGUUCGAGUUCUCCUGUUAGUUUUAUGGUGGUUGGUCAUUGAUCGACAAGAGUGCUUAAUUUUUCGGCGAUUGACAACUCUUUGGGUCGGUAUUAGGCUUGCAUGACAUAUGGUGACUUCAUAUAGAAAGGGGCUCUGUCCAUCACCCUCUCCAGGCUACGAUGGACCUGUGUGGACAUCUUUAGCCUUGAUCUUGCCUUUCAUGCUCUUGGCUCAUCUUUGGUUGCCCAGCACUCUCCCUAGCCCUAUUAGCUUUGGACGUUUCGAUCUGAGAAGGUUUCUGCUGCUUCGGACUUUAUCUGUUUUCUUGCAUAUUUAGAGGAGCUUGAAUGAGAUGGUGCGACGGCUUUGGUUUCUGAAGCUUGAGAAGGACUAAAAAGGGAGGAGUGUUCUGUUUCUGGUGGCUUUUUAUGUUUUGUUUCUCUUUUGUACUUUAUUUUUCCUUCUUUGGUUGUUUUGGAAGAAGACUAUUUCUUGUCGUCUGGUCAUCAGAAGCUAAAAUCAAACAAGAAGACAGUAACGUUGGCGUUGAAGAAGAAGGUUGUUUGUUUCUUGUCUUCCCUCUUAGCUCUAAGGUUUGUCUUGGUGGGCCUUAGGCCUUUUCGAGGUGUUUCUUCCUUGGGCUUUUGCAAUUAUACAGCUUGUUUUUAUGGGUAAUAUCUUUUUGGACUUCAGCCUUCUAAUGAAACUCCUCCAUAUUUUUAGAAAAAAAA
rnacentral:lncRNA from 1 species